UGAAAGUUAUUCCAAAACGUGUUUAACUAUAAACGUGUAACUUGUUCAGCGCUGACAGCUUUCUGUCAUUUCAGCAACUUAUUUCCAAGUUUUUUCUUUCUUUCUUUCUUUCCUUUAUUCCAAGCCCUGCUUCUGUCUUGCUUUGUUGUUUUAAAAUAUGCAUGUCUUUCAGGAAUGCCAGUCACGAGUCCAAACUUGGUGUCCAACCUCCCACAUGAAAUGAUCCCUUUAUAGGGAACCCGAUAUGUCUCAAUCUGCACUGCACUCAUAGACCUGUGUAUGGGGCACUAGUUUAAAAUACAUAAUGCAUUAAUAAAAUCGAAAGUAUUUGUGCUGCUUUGGACUGCAGCAGUCUCUGAGUAAAGUUUCGGCAAUAUUACACCAAUGUUAAGAAUUCAACAAAUACUAAGUGAAGGCAACGCCCAGAGGGGAGAUCACAAAAAGAAUGAAACAUAUACUGCCCAUUUGUUCUUAAUCUGUGAAAAUGACAUAUUCUGAAGAUGUGGGAAAUGAACAGUUAAAACAACCACCAAUGCUAUGUCACAACAAAAUGGAGCAUACCUCACUGUUACCACUGGGUUUCUACAGAGACUGAGCCAACGGGAACUGCUAGGAGCACUAGUGGAAGACUUGGGAGUAGCAAAUGUAUUAUCCCUUAAGGUAUACUGCAUGAAAAAUGAAGAAGAAAUAAACAAACAAGAAAAAUAAACCACCCUAAAGCCUACUAUAAACAGAAAAAGGGUUUGUUCACUAGGGAAGACACAGACACACAUUUUCAGUACCGCUUAUAAGCCUUGUUGAAUAGAGUUGCAUCACAAAAGACAAUCAGAUAAAUAUACUCAUUUGGUCAAAUUCAUGUAAAUGGGACAAAAGUCCACAAGAAAUGACCUUCCUAGGUAAUGCAGAACUAAGAUAUUUAAAAAACAUAAAAAGUAUUAACAAAGU